rnacentral:rRNA from 1 species
CGAACGCUUUGUGGUUCAACUGAUUUGAAGAGCUUGCUCAGAUAUGACGAUGGACAUUGCAAAGAGUGGCGAACGGGUGAGUAACACGUGGGAAACCUACCUCUUAGCAGGGGAUAACAUUUGGAAACAGAUGCUAAUACCGUAUAACAAUGACAACCGCAUGGUUGUUAUUUAAAAGAUGGUUCUGCUAUCACUAAGAGAUGGUCCCGCGGUGCAUUAGCUAGUUGGUAAGGUAAUGGCUUACCAAGGCGAUGAUGCAUAGCCGAGUUGAGAGACUGAUCGGCCACAAUGGGACUGAGACACGGCCCAUACUCCUACGGGAGGCAGCAGUAGGGAAUCUUCCACAAUGGGCGAAAGCCUGAUGGAGCAACGCCGCGUGUGUGAUGAAGGGUUUCGGCUCGUAAAACACUGUUGUAAGAGAAGAAUGACAUUGAGAGUAACUGUUCAAUGUGUGACGGUAUCUUACCAGAAAGGAACGGCUAAAUACGUGCCAGCAGCCGCGGUAAUACGUAUGUUCCAAGCGUUAUCCGGAUUUAUUGGGCGUAAAGCGAGCGCAGACGGUUAUUUAAGUCUGAAGUGAAAGCCCUCAGCUCAACUGAGGAAUUGCUUUGGAAACUGGAUGACUUGAGUGCAGUAGAGGAAAGUGGAACUCCAUGUGUAGCGGUGAAAUGCGUAGAUAUAUGGAAGAACACCAGUGGCGAAGGCGGCUUUCUGGACUGUAACUGACGUUGAGGCUCGAAAGUGUGGGUAGCAAACAGGAUUAGAUACCCUGGUAGUCCACACCGUAAACGAUGAGUGCUAGGUGUUUGAGGGUUUCCGCCCUUAAGUGCCGCAGCUAACGCAUUAAGCACUCCGCCUGGGGAGUACGACCGCAAGGUUGAAACUCAAAGGAAUUGACGGGGACCCGCACAAGCGGUGGAGCAUGUGGUUUAAUUCGAAGCAACGCGAAGAACCUUACCAGGUCUUGACAUCCCUUGACAACUCCAGAGAUGGAGCGUUCCCUUCGGGGACAAGGUGACAGGUGGUGCAUGGUUGUCGUCAGCUCGUGUCGUGAGAUGUUGGGUUAAGUCCCGCAACGAGCGCAACCCUUAUUACUAGUUGCCAGCAUUCAGUUGGGCACUCUAGUGAGACUGCCGGUGACAAACCGGAGGAAGGUGGGGAUGACGUCAAAUCAUCAUGCCCCUUAUGACCUGGGCUACACACGUGCUACAAUGGCGUAUACAACGAGUUGCCAACCCGCGAGGGUGAGCUAAUCUCUUAAAGUACGUCUCAGUUCGGAUUGUAGGCUGCAACUCGCCUACAUGAAGUCGGAAUCGCUAGUAAUCGCGGAUCAGCACGCCGCGGUGAAUACGUUCCCGGGUCUUGUACACACCGCCCGUCACACCAUGAGAGUUUGUAACACCCAAAGCCGGU